GAUGAACGCUGGCGGCGUGCUUAACACAUGCAAGUCGAACGGAAAGGCCCUGCUUUUGUGGGGUGCUCGAGUGGCGAACGGGUGAGUAACACGUGAGUAACCUGCCCUUGACUUUGGGAUAACUCCAGGAAACUGGGGCUAAUACCGGAUAGGAGCUCCUGCUGCAUGGUGGGGGGUGGAAAGUUUCGGCGGUUGGGGAUGGACUCGCGGCUUAUCAGCUUGUUGGUGGGGUAGUGGCUUACCAAGGCUUUGACGGGUAGCCGGCGUGAGAGGGUGGCCGGCCACCUUGGGACUGCGGUACGGCCCAGCCUCCUACGGGGGGCAGCAGUGGGGAAUAUUGCAGCAUGGGCGGAAGCCUGAUGCAGCAACGCCGCGUGCGGGAUGACGGCCUUCGGGUUGUAAACCGCUUUCGCCUGUGACGAAGCGUGAGUGACGGUAAUGGGUAAAGAAGCACCGGCUAACUACGUG
rnacentral:rRNA from 1 species